rnacentral:rRNA from 1 species
UACAGAGGUCCCAAGCGUUGUUCGGAUUCACUGGGCGUAAAGGGUGCGUAGGUGGGUUGGUAAGUCAGUGGUGAAAUCUCCGAGCUUAACUUGGAAACUGCCGUUGAUACUAUCAAUCUUGAAUAUCGCGUAGGUAAGCGGAAUAUGUCAUGUAGCGGUGAAAUGCUUAGAUAUGACAUAGAACACCAAUUGCGAAGGCAGCUUACUUCACGAUCAUUGACACUGAGGCACGAAAGCGUGGGGAGCAAACAGG